AGUGAACGCUGGCGGUAGGCCUAACACAUGCAAGUCGAACGGCAGCACAGUAAGAGCUUGCUCUUACGGGUGGCGAGUGGCGGACGGGUGAGGAAUACAUCGGAAUCUACUUUUUCGUGGGGGAUAACGUAGGGAAACUUACGCUAAUACCGCAUACGACCUACGGGUGAAAGCAGGGGAUCUUCGGACCUUGCGCGAUUGAAUGAGCCGAUGUCGGAUUAGCUGGUUGGCGGGGUAAAGGCCCACCAAGGCGACGAUCCGUAGCUGGUCUGAGAGGAUGAUCAGGCACACUGGAACUGAGACACGGUCCAGACUCCUACGGGAGGCAGCAGUGGGGAAUAUUGGACAAUGGGCGCAAUCCUGAUCCAGCCAUACCGCGUGGGUGAAGAAGGCCUUCGGGUUGUAAAGCCCUUUUGUUGGGAAAGAAAAGCAGCAGGUUAAUACCCCGCUGUUCUGACGGUACCCAAAGAAUAAGCACCGGCUAACUUCGUG
rnacentral:rRNA from 1 species